rnacentral:rRNA from 1 species
CACGUAGGGAGCAAGCGUUGUCCGGAUUUAUUGGGCGUAAAGAGCUCGUAGGUGGUUCGGUAAGUCAGGUGUGAAACCUCCAGGCUCAACCUGGAGACGCCACUUGAUACUGCUGUGACUGGAGUCCGGUAGGGGGAGCGUGGAAUUCCUGGUGUAGCGGUGAAAUGCGCAGAUAUCAGGAGGAACACCAGCGGCGAAGGCGGCGCUCUGGGCCGGUACUGACACUGAGGAGCGAAAGCGUGGGUAGCAAACAGG